GAAAUGCGAUAAGUAAUGUGAAUUGCAGAAUUCAGUGAAUCAUCGAAUCUUUGAACGCACCUUGCGCUCCUUGGUAUUCCUUGGAGCAUGCCUGUUUGAGUAUCAUGAAAUCUUCAAAGUAAAUCUUUUGUUAACUCAAUUGGUUUCUACUUUGGUAUUGGAGGUCUUUGCAGCUUCACACCUGCUCCUCUUUGUUCAUUAGCUGGAUCUCAGUGUUAUGCUUGGUUCCACUCGGCGUGAUAAGUUAUCUAUCGCUGAGGACACUGUAAAAGGUGGCCAAGGUAAAUGCAGAUGAACCGCUUCUAAUAGUCCAUUGACUUGGACAAUACUUUUAUGAUCUGAUCUCAAAUCAGGUAGGACUACCCGCUGAACAUAAGC
rnacentral:misc_RNA from 1 species